GCUGGAUGCGGUGGUGCACACCUGUAAUCCCAGUGGCUUGGGAGGCUGAGGCAGGAGGAUCAUGAGUUCAAAGCCAGCCUUAGCAAAAGCAAGGCACUAAGCAACUCACUGAGACCCUGUCUCUA
rnacentral:sRNA from 1 species